UAAUACGUAGGGUGCAAGCGUUGUCCGGAAUUAUUGGGCGUAAAGAGCUCGUAGGCGGCUUGUCGCGUCUGCUGUGAAAACCCGAGGCUCAACCUCGGGCCUGCAGUGGGUACGGGCAGGCUAGAGUGCGGUAGGGGAGAUUGGAAUUCCUGGUGUAGCGGUGGAAUGCGCAGAUAUCAGGAGGAACACCGAUGGCGAAGGCAGAUCUCUGGGCCGUAACUGACGCUGAGGAGCGAAAGCAUGGGGAGCGAACAGGAUUAGAUACCCUGGUAGUCCAUGCCGUAAACGUUGGGAACUAGAUGUAGGGCCUGUUCCACGGGUUCUGUGUCGUAGCUAACGCAUUAAGUUCCCCGCCUGGGGAGUACGGCCGCAAGGCUAAA
rnacentral:rRNA from 1 species